ACCUGCUAGUCCGGGCUCGCCGAGGAGGCCGCCUCGCCGGGCUCUCACCGCCGCGCCCGCCCGAGCGGCUCAGAGGGCUUCGAGGGCUCCGAGGUCGCCCAGCAGCCGCGGUGGCCCCGCUGCCUGCAAGUCCGCCUGGCUCCGAGUCACGUGUCAGUGCCCGAGGCAGAGACUGAGAAAAAAACGCGCUUCAUUCCUUCUUCCACCGCCAUACUGUAUUUUCCUAAAUCUCAUUUUUAUUCCAACAUUUUACUCCCGCUCGGUGAGUACCUUCUCAGUGGCAUUCUUGUCCUAUUCUUUUUUUUUUUUCCUUUUUUUUUGUUUUUGUUUUUGUUUUUUUCUUCUUCUUCUUCUUUUUUUUUUUUUCUUCCCACUUCUUUGAUUAUUGUUUGUAUUUGGGAAAGCUGACGAGCAUAGUCUUAAGCCUUUUCCUCAAUCAAGUUUUCCUAGCAUGCGAUGGUUCUCUAGACAAGGCGCUGUGUCUGGGAGUCCGCGGCAGCGGUGCUCUCUGCGAGCGGCUCCCAAGUCCAGCAAAAUGUGCAACUGGUUUUAUGGAAAAAGCGUUGUGAAGUAUGGUGCCUAUUUUUUUCCCUUUGUAAAGAUAAGAAAGCAUGUUUCUAACUCUUUUUUACGUACUCUUUUUCCGAAUGCAUUUUUGUGUAGGUGGGAUUUUCCAGCAGUGUUCACAAGUUUGUCGUCUUGCAAUUCGAUUCGCACCACUGAGCAAAGACAUUAAUUUUGCAUUUUUAUGACCUUUUUGGAAGCCUGUGAGAAAUAUUUCGUUUUUUCCCCUCCUGUUUUUGAUAUCAGUUGAUAACAUGAAACUUUUCUUGCAGCUAGUUAAAGGGAUUAUUUUUAAGCAGUUGCUUUUUUCCUCCUUUACAUUAACUAUUACUUUUGCAUAUUUGACUUUUUUAUUUAAAAAACCCGAGAUAAUUUUAUGAUAGAUAUCCUGAUAUCUAUAUUAUCCCUUCUUCCUCCUUCUCCCCUCCCCGUAAAUCAAUUUUCAAAUGAUGGCAGUGGAAGGUUUUUCUGGAAAAAAAAAAUGAAGUGCGGUUUGGUUUCCUUGUCAACGGAGGAUGAAGUGAACAGCACAACAGCUCGCAGAGAGCAGG
ensembl:lincRNA